rnacentral:rRNA from 1 species
GACAGAGGGGGCUAGCGUUGCUCGGAAUCACUGGGCGUAAAGGGCGCGUAGGCGGGACGGCAAGUCGGUCGUGAAAUCCUCCGGCUCAACCGGAGAACGUCGGCCGAAACUGCCGUUCUUGAGGGAUGCAGAGGAGACUGGAAUUCCCGGUGUAGCGGUGAAAUGUGUAGAGAUCGGGAGGAACACCGGUGGCGAAGGCGGGUCUCUGGGCAUCUCCUGACGCUGAGGCGCGAAAGCGUGGGGAGCAAACGGG